rnacentral:tRNA from 1 species
GCCUGGGUGGCUCAGUUGGUUGAGCGUCUGACUUCACCUCAGGUCAUGCUCUCCCAGUCCGUGAGUUCAAGUCCCACAUUGGGCU